rnacentral:rRNA from 1 species
AGUGAACGCUGGCGGUAGGCCUAACACAUGCAAGUCGAACGGCAGCACAGUAAGAGCUUGCUCUUACGGGUGGCGAGUGGCGGACGGGUGAGGAAUACAUCGGAAUCUACUUUUUCGUGGGGGAUAACGUAGGGAAACUUACGCUAAUACCGCAUACGACCUACGGGUGAAAGCAGGGGAUCUUCGGACCUUGCGCGAUUGAAUGAGCCGAUGUCGGAUUAGCUAGUUGGCGGGGUAAAGGCCCACCAAGGCGACGAUCCGUAGCUGGUCUGAGAGGAGGAUCGGCCACAUUGGAACUGAGCCACGGUCCAACCUCCUACGGGAGGCAGCAGUGGGGAAUAUUGGACAAGGAGCGAAAGCCUGAUCAAGAAAUACCGCGUGGGUGAAGAAGGCCUUCGGGUUGUAAAGCCCUUUUGUUGGGAAAGAAAAGCAGCAGGUUAAUACCCCGCUGUUCUGACGGUACCCAAAGAAUAAGCAACGGCUAACUUCGUG